GCACCGCUGAGGAGUCCCACAACAGAACGAGACGGCCGUCCAGUGC
rfam:Schistosoma mattheei strain Denwood, Zambia genome assembly, scaffold: SMTD_scaffold0014174